GAACUCGGCAAAUUAGUACCGUAACUUCGGGAUAAGGUACGCCCCUAGUAGGUGAAAGUGUACAACUGGAGCCGAAUGGGGUCGCAGUGAAAAGGUGGCUGCGACUGUUUAACAAAAACACAGCACUCUGCAAACACGUCAAGUGGACGUAUAGGGUGUGACGCCUGCCCGGUGCCGGAAGGUUAAGUGAUGGGGUGCAAGCUCUUGAUCGAAGCCCCGGUAAACGGCGGCCGUAACUAUAACGGUCCUAAGGUAGCGAAAUUCCUUGUCGGGUAAGUUCCGACCUGCACGAAUGGCGUAACGAUGGCCACACUGUCUCCUCCUGAGACUCAGCGAAGUUGAAGUGUUUGUGAUGAUGCAAUCUCCCCGCUGCAAGACGGAAAGACCCCGUGCACCUUUACUGCAACUUUGCAUUGGACUUUGAUGAGAUUUGUGUAGGAUAGCUGGGAGACUUUGAAGUGGGGGCGCUAGCUCUCAUGGAGUCGACGUUGAAAUACCAGCCUGAUGUUAUUGAGGUUCUAACCUGGAUCCGUAAUCCGGAUCGGGGACCGUGCAUGGUGGGCAGUUUGACUGGGGCGGUCUCCUCCCAAAGAGUAACGGAGGAGUGCGACGGUACGCUUAGCGCGGUCGGCUAUCGCGCUGUAUGUGCAAUGGCAAAAGCGUGCUUAACUGCGAGACGGACAUGUCGAGCAGGUGCGAAAGCAGGUCAUAGUGAUCCGGUGGUUCUGUAUAGAAGGGCCAUCGCUCAACGGAUAAAAGGUACGCCGGGGAUAUCAGGCUGAUUCCUCCCAAGAGUUCAUAUCGACGGGGGAGUUUGGCACCUCGAUGUGGCUCAUCACAUCCUGGGGCUGUAGCCGGUCCCAAGGGUAUGGCUGUUCGCCAUUUAAAGUGGUACGUGAGCUGGGUUCAAAACGUCGUGAGACAGUUUGGUCCCUAUCUGCAGUGGGCGUUGGAAGUUUGAGGGGGGCUGCUCCUAGUACGAGAGGACCGGAGUGGACGCAUCCCUGGUGUACCGGUUGUCACGCCAGUGGCAUCGCCGGGUAGCUAAAUGCGGAAAAGAUAAGCGCUGAAAGCAUCUAAGCGCGAAACUUGCCUCAAGAUGAGACUUCCCGGGAACUUGAUUCCCCUAAAGGGUCGCGGAAGACCACCGCGUUGAUAGGUCGGGUGUGUAAGAGCAGCAAUGCUUUGAGCUAACCGAUACUAAUUGCCCGUGAGGCUUGAU
rnacentral:rRNA from 1 species